rnacentral:rRNA from 1 species
AAACGAUAGCUAAUACCGCAUAAUAUUAAUUAUUGCAUGAUAAUUGAUUGAAAGAUGCAAGCGCAUCACUAGUAGAUGGACCUGCGUUGUAUUAGCUAGUUGGUAAGGUAAGAGCUUACCAAGGCGACGAUACAUAGCCGACCUGAGAGGGUGAUCGGCCACACUGGGACUGAGACACGGCCCAGACUCCUACGGGAGGCAGCAGUAGGGAAUCUUCGGCAAUGGACGAAAGUCUGACCGAGCAACGCCGCGUGAGUGAAGAAGGUUUUCGGAUCGUAAAGCUCUGUUGUAAGUCAAGAACGUGUGUGAGAGUGGAAAGUUCACACAGUGACGGUAGCUUACCAGAAAGGACGGCUA